AAAUCAUCAUUCAAUGUAAAUUUUAAUGAAUCUGGUCAGGUCUUAAUUGAAGCAGCCAUAAGUUAAAUUGCAUGUGGAUGGUGAUUUUUA
rnacentral:SRP_RNA from 1 species